GAAUUUUCACAAGGGGGAGGGCAGUAGUACAGUACAGUCCAUUAUUGUUUGUAGUACAGUCCAUUAGUAAGAGUAAUUUUAAUUAAUAUAUACAUAAUAAUACAAAUGGCUUAAGAGAACUAAAACUAUAUGUUUGAUUUAUUAUAACCACAUAUUCCAAUGUCAGCUUUUACUAACUGGAAAAUACGUGUUAGUUUAUUCUUUAAUGGCAAUCGAGUUUCUUUUCAGAGUUUGUGCUUAUUUUUCAGGUAGUAAAAUACCCACACACUACAGCAAGUUUACAUUGGCACUAUCUACAUUGGCACAGACAGUUUAUAGGUAUAUCAUAAUCUAAAAAAGAAUGAGUUGUCCACAUGAUUUUACAACGUGCGCUGUACAGGAUCAGACUGUACGUUAACUUUCUACUCAAGUUACAGUAUUUGCUUCAAUGUUCACUCAGCCAUAUUGUUUUGGUAUAGUCGUUUGGAAAAUACAUCGACUCAGGAAGUUUUGAAUAUUUUCAUGUGAUGCCAGUACACUGUAAACCAGUAGUUUUAAUACAGCACAGCAGUAUUUUCCUAAAGACAACCCGAUGGUGGGAAUAUUCAACAGCUUGCUUUCUGUUUCAGUUAUUCAAUACAAUUUAUUGUCCAAUGUCCAUGGAAGCAAAUCAAACUGUUGACAUCAUAUCCUCCAAAUGCACUUCACAAUUCUCAAUCACAGCAUUAUAUAUAUCCAGUUUGUACUGUUAUCAUAUGAACAUAACCAUGCCAUUUUAAAUUGAAACCGGCAAUAUGACGAGGUCUUGUGAGUUGUACUGUAAGUUCAUGACGGAAAGACAGAAAUUAUAUGUCAUUGUUGUAUGAAACGAAAUUCCACAAUGGUCCAAUGUAAAGAAUUACUAUAUAAGCCUAAAAAUAAAUAAAAUAAACACAGAUUAAUAUACACAAAAAACUAUAGACAGAGUAUGAUUUAGUUAGAAUUAGAUACUUACCAUUUUUAUUAAAUUAAAAGAUGCAUGUAUGGGUUAGAAGGGCUCUAUAAAC